rnacentral:rRNA from 1 species
AUGCCCCCCACGACGCCCCAGCGCCGGAAGCAGGACGAAUCGGGCGGCGGCGACUGGCGCGAGGAGGCCGUGUCCGCCGGCUCGCUGCGCCAGGUGGACCUCGACAGGGGCGCCAACGGCUGGGCCGCGCCGCCGGGGGACCUCUUCCAGCUGCGCGCGCGCGGCUACUUCUCCGGCGGCGGCGGCAAGCGCGGCAAGUCGGCCGCGUCGCCGGACUGGCUCCUCCGCCCCGCCGGCGUCGACUGGCUCCGCUCCCACGCGCGCCUCGACCACCUGCUCGCCCGCGACGACGUCCCCGUCGCCGCCGCCUUCCGCCGCGCGCGCCUCCGCAAGGACCCCAACGCCCACUUCCUCCUCGCCGUCAAUCUCCAGGUCCCCGGCUGGCCGGACGCCUACAGCUCGGUCUUCUACUUCGCGGCGGAGGCGCCCAUCCCGCCGGACUCCCUGCUCGGGCGCUUCGUCUACGGCGACGACGCCUACCGCAACGCCCGCUUCAAGAUCGUCAACCGCAUCGUCAAGGGCCCCUGGCUCGUCCGCGCCACCGUCGGCAACUACGGGGCGUGCCUCCUGGGCCGCGCGCUCACGUGCCGCUACCACAGGGGCGACGACUACCUCGAGAUCGACGUGGACAUCGGCAGCUCGGCGAUCGCCACUGCCAUCCUGCAUCUGGCGCUGGGCGCGGUCACCUCGGUGACCAUCGACAUGGGCUUCCUUGUCGAGUCCCAGUCCGAGGAGGAGCUGCCCGAAAAGCUCUUCGGCGCGGUGCGCAUCGCGCAGAUGGAGAUGGGUUCGGCCAAGUACGUGGAGACGGCGUCUGAUGAGCCCGAGACCGCCGGCAAGGCAGCGCCGGGGUUCAGGGUUGGCUCGGCGAGGGUGGCCAACGAUAGCCGCCACCAGGAACGCACCAGCGGCAAGGCCAGCAGGUCGAUGAGCUGCCAGGAACGCCUGGGCGGAGGAAAAUAG